GCCUGCUGCCGGACAGGACGUGGCUUUGUUCCUCCUUUGCCUUCUGCCAUGAUUGUGAGGCCUCCCCAGCCACGUGGAACUGCAGCCCUCCAGGACCCAGGGCCAGCUGCAGAAGAAGCACGGCACGCUGGGAAAUCAAACAGGGGCUCCAGGUUCUCAAAGGAAGGAGUCCGAGGCAGCACCGGCAGAGCCUUGAGCCAAUGUCUCCUCAGGGCAGCGAGCAGGCUUCCUGAGGCAGGAGUGGCUCCAGCUGCCUGCCUUCCCUGUGCCAAAGGUCAGCCCGGGACUCUGGUGACACUGACCCUCCGUGAAAGCCCUCCCAGUCUCUGCACAAAUCCAGGGAAGGCAUCAGAGAAGGACAAUGUGCAGCUUCUUAGGUGGCCUCUCCAGCAUCACUAGCUGGGUAUCCAGGACUGGGCUGCUCAGCUCCACCAGGUGCAAGGCCCAUGCAGGGCAUCCUGAGUGAUGAUGCAUCUCACUUUUGCAUCUCUGUUGCAAACUCAAGGUUUCUGAAAAACCUGACACUUCCAGGGGACAUUGAUGCAUCUUAGCUCCCCGAAAUGAAGCACACAUCUCUCCCGUCCUAGGCAGGACCUUGAAGGACCCUCUCUGCAGGGAAGGCCUGGCUGGGCAGGGCAGCCUGUCCUGUUUGCAGCAUCAGGGAAUGAAGCAGGCUAAAGCCAGCACCUGAGACCUGCUCUGCCCACUCCUAUGCAACCGCUGCCUUGUGGUGGUGUGUUUUGGACCCUGCCUCUGGCCUGCUCCGAAAGAGCCCCACUGAACACGGGAAGGGAACUGACUUCAGUAUUGCCACGAGUGUUUGGGCACCGGGAGUGGGAAGAGGGUGAACACACUGCAGGACCCACUUUUUCAACAGAUGCCACUGGGAAGAGCCCAAAGUGAGCAGCCAGCCUGGGGCCUGGGCCUUCCCAGGGGCGAGGGAACACGCUGCGGCCCCAGGGCUAUCGGCGAACUCCACGCUUUCGGACGCAGCCACGAGAACCUUACAGGCAAACCUUGAGGAGGAAAAGUGAAUACCAACCGACAGGCUGGGCCGUCCGGCGCUCCUUCUGGGAGGGAACGUGACUGACUCGAGGAAGGGUGUGCGCCACGGAGCGGCGGUGGGCAGCACCGAACACAGAAGGACCUGAAGCCCCCAGUGCCCAUGGGGCACGCUGCCCUGCAUUGGAACCCCAGGGUCCCAUGGUGAGGCCCUGCUCUCCUGGUGGGAGGGAUUGUCUGCAGUAUUCUCUCAGUAUGGUGCAUCGGGGGUAGCCCUGCCCAGAUAAAAUUCCCAUUUCUGGUUUUUUCU